rnacentral:rRNA from 1 species
AACGAACGCUGGCGGCAUGCCUAACACAUGCAAGUCGAACGAGCCCUUCGGGACUUGUGUCGCAUGGGUUCGUCACGCGUCGGAACCUGACUAUAGGUUCGGAAUAACUCAGAGAAAUUUGUGAUAAUACCGGAUGAUGUCUUCGGACCAAAGAUUUAUCGCCCUUAGUUGGACCCGCGUUGGAUUAGCUAGUUGGUUGGGUAAAGGCAGACUAAGGCGACGAUCCAUAACUGGUAAGUGAGAAUGAUCAGCGACACUGAGACGAAGACGCGGCCCAGACUCCUACGGGAGGCAGCAGUGGGGGACAUUGGAAAAUGGGCGAAGGGCUGAUCGUGCUAUGCCGGGUGAGUUAUGAAGUCAUUAGGGUAGUAAAGCGUUUGUACCCGAGAUCAUAAUGACGGUAUCGAGAGAAUAAGCUCCGGCUAACUCCGUG